CUAGGCUUUGGUCCGUCACUGCUAUUUCAGUGAUCGGGUUUGGUAGCCCGAGUA
rnacentral:ncRNA from 1 species